GGCGCUUGCACGUUUCGGUUUUCCGAGGUCUGGACAGUCUCUGGGGACGGUUCGAGUUGGACCUGUUCGCUUCACGCCUGAACACUCAACUCCCGGAGUUUUACAGCUGGAGGCCAGACCCGGCAGCAGUUGUGACGGACACCUUUCUCCAAGACUGGCCACCGGGACGCCUGUAUGCCUUCCCACCAUUCAACAUGAUUGCUCGCACGAUAUCGAAGUUGACCCGUCACGAUUGUUGCCUGGUGCUGAUCACGCCUCUAUGGAGGUCCCGUCCAUGGUUCCCACGCUUGAUGGAGUUGUCGAUAGACUACCCCCGACUGAUUCCGAGCUUCCAGGAUCUUCUUCUGGAUCCGGAUGGGAACUCGCACGGACUGGUGCUCAGGCAUCCGUUACCUCUGAUGGCGUGGCUCCUUUCAGGGGGAACCUGGGUUGUCCCGAACGUUUCGAGGACGACUCUACAGCUCCUCGAUAACGCCUGGGCUCCAGGUACGAGAUCAGCCUACCGCUCUUCAUGG